GGGAAGUGGGCGGGGUGCUAUACAUGCAGUCGAACGAACUCUGGUAUUGAUUGGUGCUUGCAUCAUGAUUUACAUUUGAGUGAGUGGCGAACUGGUGAGUAACACGUGGGAAACCUGCCCAGAAGCGGGGGAUAACACCUGGAAACAGAUGCUAAUACCGCAUAACAACUUGGACCGCAUGGUCCGAGCUUGAAAGAUGGCUUCGGCUAUCACUUUUGGAUGGUCCCGCGGCGUAUUAGCUAGAUGGUGGGGUAACGGCUCACCAUGGCAAUGAUACGUAGCCGACCUGAGAGGGUAAUCGGCCACAUUGGGACUGAGACACGGCCCAAACUCCUACGGGAGGCAGCAGUAGGGAAUCUUCCACAAUGGACGAAAGUCUGAUGGAGCAACGCCGCGUGAGUGAAGAAGGGUUUCGGCUCGUAAAACUCUGUUGUUAAAGAAGAACAUAUCUGAGAGUAACUGUUCAGGUAUUGACGGUAUUUAACCAGAAAGCCACGGCUAACUACGUGCCAGCAGCCGCGGUAAUACGUAGGUGGCAAGCGUUGUCCGGAUUUAUUGGGCGUAAAGCGAGCGCAGGCGGUUUUUUAAGUCUGAUGUGAAAGCCUUCGGCUCAACCGAAGAAGUGCAUCGGAAACUGGGAAACUUGAGUGCAGAAGAGGACAGUGGAACUCCAUGUGUAGCGGUGAAAUGCGUAGAUAUAUGGAAGAACACCAGUGGCGAAGGCGGCUGUCUGGUCUGUAACUGACGCUGAGGCUCGAAAGUAUGGGUAGCAAACAGGAUUAGAUACCCUGGUAGUCCAUACCGUAAACGAUGAAUGCUAAGUGUUGGAGGGUUUCCGCCCUUCAGUGCUGCAGCUAACGCAUUAAGCAUUCCGCCUGGGGAGUACGGCCGCAAGGCUGAAACUCAAAGGAAUUGACGGGGGCCCGCACAAGCGGUGGAGCAUGUGGUUUAAUUCGAAGCUACGCGAAGAACCUUACCAGGUCUUGACAUACUAUGCAAAUCUAAGAGAUUAGACGUUUCCCUUUCGGGGACAUGGAUACAGUGGUGCAUGGUUGUCGUCAGCUCGUGUCGUGAGAUGUGGGUUAAGUCCCGCAACGAGCGCAACCUAUAUCAGUGGCAGCAUAGUAGGCACUCUGGUGAACUGCGGUGACCAGCGAAGGAGUGGAUGACGUCGAAUCAUCAUGCCCCUAUGGCACCUGGGCUUAACACACACGU
rnacentral:rRNA from 1 species